AAGUCCGGAAGGAGUAUAAGUCUUAACUGAGUAAAUAAAAGAAUGAAGGGCCAAGAUUUAUUUUAGUUAAUUAAGCUCAAGGGACGAGAUCGUGCCACGUGGACAGAUGGUUAUAUAUACACAUCACAAAAGAGAGAGAAGGCUAACUGAAAUCUGAUCAAUUCUUGAAUGGAGCUCAAUAUUAAUCUCAUUUCUUUUACUAGUUAGAAUUUCCCUGUUGGUUUGAGUACCAUUUCUCUGUUUUUGAUAAAUAACAGAAAAUUCCCAAAAAAGUGUUGAGUUGAUUGUUUAA